CUUGUAGCACAAUGAACAGUGCGUUGGACUUCUAAUCCAAAGGUCGUGGGUUCGAAUCCCCCUGGAAUGG
rnacentral:tRNA from 1 species